UUUCUCCCCGUUAAAAAAUCCAGAUUCCACAUAAAACUAAAGCUAGAAGAAGCCAAUUUAUCAGCACCAACGAAUUCAACCAUCUUCAUUCACCGGUGAAUCUAACCAUCUUCGUUCACCGGUGAAUCUAACCAUCAUUCACCAGCGAUUCAUACUAUCUUCGUUGACUGGCGAUUACGCCAACUUCGUUCAUCAAUUUCAGUCAGUUCAAUAUUCGGAGCUCCCGACAACACUUUACAUUUUCGUCACCACCGUUUGCUGGAAAAGAGAUCUUGACAUCUUGUACAAGCUAUGUUCAGUUCUCCUCUCAAACCGGUCUCAAUUGCUCAAUGAAACCUGAAAGUUUCUCUGACGAAGCCAGCGAUCUAGAAGAGGAUUGAAGACUAUCUGAUGAAUAUGUUAGGAUUUAUGUGCAUGGUUUUGGUUUGGUAGAUGUUUGAAUGUUGGAUAUAUCUAGUUUGGUAUGAUUUUUGUGCAGGUAUUUGAUU
rnacentral:lncRNA from 1 species